rnacentral:rRNA from 1 species
UACGUAGGGACCAAGCGUUGUUCGGAUUUACUGGGCGUAAAGGGCGCGUAGGCGGCGUGGUAAGUCACUUGUGAAAUCUCUGAGCUUAACUCAGAACGGCCAAGUGAUACUGCUGUGCUAGAGUGCAGAAGGGGCAAUCGGAAUUCUUGGUGUAGCGGUGAAAUGCGUAGAUAUCAAGAGGAACACCUGAGGUGAAGACGGGUUGCUGGGCUGACGCUGACGCUGAGGCGCGAAAGCCAGGGGAGCAAACGGG